rnacentral:rRNA from 1 species
UACGGGGGGGGCAAGCGUUGUUCGGAAUUACUGGGCGUAAAGGGCUCGUAGGCGGCCAACUAAGUCAGACGUGAAAUCCCUCGGCUUAACCGGGGAACUGCGUCUGAUACUGGAUGGCUAGAGGUUGGGAGAGGGAUGCGGAAUUCCAGGUGUAGCGGUGAAAUGCGUAGAGAUCAGGAAGAACAUCGGUGGCGAAGGCGCUCUGCUGGACCAUAACUGACACUCAGGGACGAAAGCUAGGGGAGCGAAUGGG